GUCGGGAUAGCUCAGCUGGUAGAGCAGAGGACUGAAAAUCCU
rnacentral:tRNA from 9 species